rnacentral:rRNA from 1 species
UACGAAGGGGGCUAGCGUUGUUCGGAUUUACUGGGCGUAAAGCGCACGUAGGCGGAUUGUUAAGUGAGAGGUGAAAUCCCGGAGCUCAACUCCGGAACUGCCUUUCAUACUGGCAAUCUAGAGUCCGGAAGAGGUGAGUGGAACUCCUAGUGUAGAGGUGGAAUUCGUAGAUAUUAGGAAGAACACCAGUGGCGAAGGCGGCUCACUGGUUCGGUACUGACGCUGAGGUGCGAAAGCGUGGGGAGCAAACAGG